UGUAGAUGUGUAAAUGAUGUAUGAAAAUUUAAUUUAUUUAUGAAGGUUUUAUUUACAUGAUUUAUUUUUAAAAUGAAAUUUAAUAAUAAAAAGAAGGGAAAAUAUAUAACACAUCCUACAAAUGAAUGAAGAGAGCAAGAACAACAAACGAUGUCGCGGGUUGUUGUGUGUGGCUGAGGGAGAGUAUGGAGACGAGAGAGAGUGAGGAAGGUGGAUUAGGGUUAGGUAAGGGUUCUGAUUUUUUUUUUUCAAUUGGGGUAACAGUAGGGAUGACAGAGAAAAUGUUGGAGUGAGAGAGAUGAAAGAGAAAAGAUUGAGAGGAAUGAGGGAGGUGAGUAAGGGUUUGGGAAUUUUUGUUUUUUUUUUAAAUAUCCUUGACCUUAAAACUUAUAAUUCAUGAUAUAUGAGGGUAUUUUUGUCUACUAUAAUCCGGUACACAUUGUUAAAACGUACCAACUUAAAAACAGAAGUACGCGUGUUAACAAACCCA
rnacentral:lncRNA from 1 species